rnacentral:lncRNA from 1 species
AGGGGCCGGCGGCUUGGGCAGCCUCAGGGAGGGGAGGCGGCGCACCCGCCAUUUUCCGCUCGGGUGGAGCUAAGUUUGGAAUCUGUAACCGGGAGGUG